AUGCUGCUUACAUGUCCUUGGAAACCCUCCAUAAUAGUAGGAGGCAAGUUCAAGAGAAAUGAUAAGAUGGACGUGGCUGCAAUAUUUGGAGCACAUGUUCGAGUUAUUCAAAGAAUAUGGGAGACAGCAAUGAUACAGAAAGGCCUUGGUCAGGAGGUGUCAAACAAAAGAAAGGAAAAUUGUGGGAGGAAACCUUAUGAUGAUAUCCUAUCUUNNNNNNNNNNNNNUACCUUAAACAAGAGGUCAACUAUUCGAUCACUAGCAAAGGCACUGGGUGUAAGCCCUACAACACUAUACAAGAAGUUUAUGCUGAAUAAGAUAAGGAGACACUCCAACGGUGUAAAGCCAAUACUGACAGACAAAAAUAAGAGAGAUAGGGUGGAUUUUUGCCUAUCCAUGCUAGAUGUGGCAACAUUAGGAGAUGUAAGCCCAUAUUUCAGGAGUACGCACAAUAUUGUGCACAUUGAUGAGAAAUGGUCCUGCAUAACCAAGAAAAGGAACUACUAUCUGCUGCCUGACGAAGAGGACCCGGAAAGACCUAUUAAAAACUCUAUUGGAAAAGUGAUGUUUCUCAGAGCGGUAGCAAGACCACGGUACGAUGAAGAUGGAAGCAUGACAUUCUCCGGAAAAAUUGGGGUCUGGCCAUUCGUGAGUGACUGCAGCAGCAAAAAGAAGCAAUAUUAG
rnacentral:rRNA from 1 species